rnacentral:rRNA from 1 species
UCUUAUUGAUUAUAAUUUUAAGUCUAAUCUGCCCAAUGAUAUUUUAUUUAAUGGCUGCAGUAUUUAUAACUGUACAAAGGUAGCAUAAUAAUUAGUUUUUUAAUUGAAAACUAGAAUGAAAGAUUAAAUGAAAUAUAUACUAUAUAAAUAAAAUUAAAAAUUAAAAUUAAAAUUUAAGUAAAAAUUCUUAAAUUAUUUUAAAAGACGAGAAGACCCUAUAGAAUUUUAUUUUUUAUUAUUUUAAGAUUUAAUAAUAAAUUUAAAUAAAUAAUAAAAAAUUUAAUUGGGGUAAUUUUAAAAUUAAAUUAAUUUUUAUUUAAAAAACAUAAAUUAAUGAAUUUUUAA